UUUACUCUCAAAGAAGACAAGGACCAGUUCUAGUUAGGCUUGAUCGAGUUAAGGGGUCUUUAGGCACUAAAAGAAGGCGCUGGAACUGCUGUCUCAUUUACUCGCCGAUUUAGUUUAAAAAGAUAAUCAUUCUGAGGCUCUAUCACAUGAUACUAGUAGUUCUUCUGCUAUGCUCAAUACUUCAGGUAGUUAUAAUGUGUUUAAAUUAGUGAUUAUAUAUAAAUAAGGUAUGGGUGAUGGGGACAAAGAGCAGCCAUUUUGUGCAUAGAUAUAGGAUCGGCUAUUGGGAAACAUACAUUAGUGUUAGUGUGGCAUGGUUGACCGAAGGAUGAUCAGUUACAGACAGAUUGUCAUGUGAUUUGUGCUGAAUUUCGAUUCAAUGCCAGUUGUGAGUCCUGUAAUCGUAACUCAAGUUUAUUAGGCACUAGAUACAGAAGCUCGUACUAGCAUUUAUCUUGUGCUGGUAUAUUACCAUCACAGUACUGCCAUAUUUUUGUCGGCAUCACUGGGCACAAUUGGGAAGAGGUACACAGAUACAGGAGGCUCCUUACCAUCCCAAUAUCUAUUCAACCCUAUAAUGUUUAUAUUUUUAAAAAUUUAGAAUAAUAUUUUUGUAUUUACUUCUUCCAGUAAAUCGCUGAAUGUUACAACUGCUACCAGUACUAGGAUCUGAAUGAGGACCAUGUUGGGGUCUUUUGCUGGAACCACUUAUACUUGAUGAUGGUGGCUGAUAUAUGGUAGUCGGCAGGGCUGUCUGGUCCCAGUGGUGGCGGUUCUUGGGCUGGUUUUCUGUGUAGUAGUGAGGGCUAUUCCCUUGCCACUAUCACUUAUUACCUGCCUGACAGCAUCAUUGACUGUGUUUCUUAGGCUGUUGGCAGAUUUUUCAGAAUAUACAAUAUAAUAUUUGAUAAUAAUGUAAAAUUAUUACUUCAAGUCAAUUAUACCAUUUCUCUCCUUGCUAUGCUUUCUAGGUGUGCUUGUAGGUUAACUCUCUCACCUUUGCUAAUUUUAAUGUUUUUAUAAUGCGUUUUGCUAGUGAUUUA
rnacentral:lncRNA from 1 species